UAGCUACUCCCUCCGUCCGGAAAUACUUGUCAUCAAAAUGGAUAAAAAGAGGUGUAUCUAGAACUAAAAUACAUCUAGAUACAUCCCUUUUUAUUCAUCUUGAUGACAAGUAUUUCCGGACGGAGGGAGUAUGUG
rnacentral:pre_miRNA from 1 species